rnacentral:rRNA from 1 species
AUACGGAGGAUCCGAGCGUUAUCCGGAUUUAUUGGGUUUAAAGGGUGCGCAGGCGGCCAUUUAAGUCAGCGGUUAAAUCGUGGGGCUCAACCCCAUUCUGCCGUUGAUACUGGGUGGCUUGAUUGCGGUCGAGGUUGGCGGAAUUCGUUGUGUAGCGGUGAAAUGCAUAGAUAUGACGAAGAACACCGAUUGCGUAGGCAGCUGACCAGACCGCAAAUGACGCUCAUGCACGAAAGUGCGGGGAUCGAACAUGAUUAGAUACCCUGGUAGUCCGCACAGUAAACGAUGAAUACUUGUUUUCGGCGAUAUAAUGUCGGAGGCAAAGCGAAAGCGAUAAGUAUUCCACCUGGGGAGUACGCCGGCAACGGUGAAACUCAAAGGAAUUGACGGGG